rnacentral:lncRNA from 1 species
AUAAUUGAUAAUAAAUGGCUACAAUUCGUUCUCUAACAGUAAGGAAGUAAUUGAAGAAGCUAGUGUUAAACUUGGAUUUUGAAGUAUAUAAUACUAGUUGCUCACUUGUAUUUGUUUGGAUAAAAAUGACAAGUUCAGAAGUGAGGAAGUGGCAAACUGGCGCUUGGAUUGAUUGUGAAUGAAAGGCAUGGUACGCAGUCCAAGUUCGAACUUGGGUCAUUGGGCUGCAUUUUGCGUGGAAAUUGAGCCAACGUUUGGGCUCGAUCCCUUUCAAUAGAUUAAGGUCUUAAUUGAUUUUUGAAAUUUGAGUUUUGAGUUAGGUAGCGAGUUUUAAACUAAAAGGCUCGUCCUUUUGUUUGGACCAAGACUUGAACUUAAGGCCCGGAUUUUAAUAUAACCAUUUAGGAUCUUUAUUUCUUUAUUAGAAACCCAAAACUAAAAAUAGAAUACGCACUUGAACUUAAGGCCCGAAUUUUAAUAUAAUCAUUUAGGAUCUUUCUAUCUUUAUUAGAAACCCAAAACUAAAAAUAGAAAAUACAGUUACUUUUAGGUUUAUCCUUUUAAAAUAAAUGAGAUGAGUCUCGCCCAAUAAAAAAUACAAAUUGCGGGGCCCUCGAUAAUGGUUUAAAAAAUAUUUAGAUAAUCGAGAAGAGCCGUUUAGUGAAUUUCACGGCCCUCCCAAAAGAUUACAAUGCGUUAGACUCUAUUUGGUGCGACUUUAAUAAAUUAUAUUCCUAAAACGGGUGGGCAUUUUAUGCGGACCAAAUCCAAAUCCAAAAACAUUGAAUAGAGUGUGCCUAAGAUUGCAGGUUCAUUUGAUGCG